CUUGUGUGACCGCGUACUUUUUGUAGAACGGGCCAACGAGUUACGUUAAGUAGCAAGGUUAAGCACUUAAGGUGUGGAGCCGUAGCGAAAGCGAGUUUUAACUGAGCGUUCAGUUACUUGACGUAGACCCGAAACCGGGCGACCUACCCAUGAGCAGGAUGAAGCGAAAGUAAAAUUUCGUGGAGGUCCGAACCCACGAGCGUUGAAAAGCUCGGGGAUGACUUGUGGGUAGCGGUGAAAUUCCAAUCGAGCCCGGAGAUAGCUGGUUCUCCCCGAAAUAGCUUUAGGGCUAGCCUCAAGGUGAGAGAUACGGAGGUAGAGCACUGAAUGUCCUAGGGGGUAUUGCACCUACCGAAGACUAUCAAACUCCGAAUGCCGUCAUCUUAUACUUGGGAGUCAGACUGUGGGUGAUAAGAUUCAUAG
rnacentral:rRNA from 1 species